UACGUAGGUGGCAAGCGAUACUCGGAAUCACUAGGCGUAAAGCGCAGGUAGGCGGUUUGGUAAGUCUUUUGUGAAAGCUCCCGGCUCAACUGGGAGAGGCCAAGGGAAACUACCGGACUAGAGUGUGGUAGGGGAUACUGGAAUUCCUGGUGUAGCGGUGAAAUGCGUAGAUAUCAGGAGGAAUACCUAUGGCGAAAGCAGGUAUCUGGGCCAUCACUGACGCUAAGCUGCGAAAGCUAGGGGAGCAAACAGG
rnacentral:rRNA from 1 species